CCUACGGGGAGCUGCAGUAGGGAAUAUUGCUCAAUGGGGGAAACCCUGAAGCAGCAACGCCGCGUGGAGGAUGAAGGUUUUCGGAUUGUAAACUCCUUUUGUUAGAGAAGAUAAUGACGGUAUCUAACGAAUAAGCACCGGCUAACUCCGUGCCAGCAGCCGCGGUAAUACGGAGGGUGCAAGCGUUACUCGGAAUCACUGGGCGUAAAGAGCGCGUAGGCGGGAAAGCAAGUCAGAUGUGAAAGCCUAUGGCUUAACCAUAGAACUGCAUUUGAAACUGUUAUUCUAGAGUAUGGGAGAGGUAGGUGGAAUUCUUGGUGUAGGGGUAAAAUGCGUAGAGAUCAAGAGGAAUACUCAUGGCGAAGGCGACCUGCUAGAACAUAACUGACGCUGAUGCGCGAAAGCGUGGGGAGCAAACAGGAUUAGAUACCCCUGUAGUC
rnacentral:rRNA from 1 species